UACAGAGGGGGCAAGCGUUGUUCGGAAUUACUGGGCGUAAAGGGCGCGUAGGCGGCCGCCUAAGUCAGACGUGAAAUCCCUCGGCUCAACCGGGGAACUGCGUCUGAUACUGGGUGGCUUGAAUUCGGGAGAGGUGAGUGGAACUGCGAGUGUAGAGGUGAAAUUCGUAGAUAUUCGCAAGAACACCAGUGGCGAAGGCGGCUCACUGGCCCGAUACGUGACGCUGAGGUGCGAAAGCGUGGGGAGCAAACAGGG
rnacentral:rRNA from 1 species